GCCUGGGUGGCUCAGUCAGUUAAGCAUCCGACUUUGGCUCAGGUCAUGAUCUCACAGUUUGUGGGUUCGAGCCCCACAUCGGGCU
rnacentral:tRNA from 1 species